UACGGGGGGGGCAAGCGUUGUUCGGAAUUACUGGGCGUAAAGCGUGCGCAGGCGGUUUGUAAGCCAGAUGUGAAAGCCCCGGGCUCAACCUGGGAACUGCAUUUGGGACUGCAAGGCUGGAGUACGGCAGAGGGAGUGGAAUUCCACGUGUAGCAGUGAAAUGCGUAGAGAUGUGGAGGAACACCGAUGGCGAAGGCAGCCUCCUGGGCUAGUACUGACGCUCAUGCACGAAAGCGUGGGGAGCAAACAGG
rnacentral:rRNA from 1 species